GUAAAGUAUUUCAUUUCACUUCAGUCUCUGACAGCUUUUGAUGUCCAUUUUGCUAUUCCUCUGCAGGAACCACUACAAGUUCUCUCCUGCUUAAGAAAAGGAGCAGACUGGGAACAACCAGGUAGACUAAGAUACACCUAAGUGUAUUUUCUGAACUGGAGGACGCCGGCUCUACAAUGGCUACAGGCACUGAGUAAUGAGAAUGAUUAGUGCUGUUGGAGCUGAAAACAGAUAAAACUGUUUCCCACAUGUUCUUUCAUGAUGCUUCAGGCAGCGCUGUCCCGGGUUGCACAGCAGGGUCAGGGCCGUGCCCAGCAGCUCUGCCUCUCCAAGGACGGAAGGAUGUGCCAGAAUCAGGUGCCAUCAUUGUGCCAUGGAAUUUUCCUCAGCAAGACAUCUGCCCUUCACAGACUUGGACAAUACGGACGUGGAAAUAAAUUCAAAUAUGUCUGCAAUGGUAAAGAAGGAGUGAAUGAAGAGCAAAGAACAUCCCUUGCUAGCUUUAAUUUGGCUAACACAGGUAAAAAUAGUGAUGGAGAUCCUUUCUGGUCAUUAAUAUGCUACAUUGCCAAGUAACUAAACACAAGGUACCUGGGGUCCCGGAUAGCCUGCCUGAGCUGAGAUUUGUGCAGUCAGAUAGGUUGCCAAUUUUCAGUUGCUUGUAAUGACAGCAAAAUUAGACUAACCAAGAAUCUCUGUCAUUGAUAGAACUACUCAUUUAUAAACAGGCUGAUCAUUCGUGGUGAAAGUCGAUCUGUCUGAUGACAUGUAACUGCAUACCUUUGACUUUUGCCUUUCACUUCAAAAAUCCUGUGUAGGUCGGAACAUCACCUCUUUCUCACAGAGCAACCCCAUGCACUAGAUAAAGCCUGACACAGUAUCUCUUCACUAGGCAUGUUCCCAGGUGCAGGUGAACAUCAGUCUGUUGCCCUUUACAUAUGUGCCCUACUUGAUAGACGUAGUGACCUGUGAUGUAGCGCUAGCCCAGGCAUUGCAUUACUGAAGUCUCAUUAAAGGUAUUUUUUCCACAGUUCAGGACUGUGCCUUUCCUUAGCUGUGACCUCAGCAGAUGCACUUUGUGUUGCAGAAAGAGGAUGUGAGAGAGGACACGUGCUCAGGGCACAGUACACUUGGCACUGGUGAGUGAUAAUCCAGAGUAAAUUACUGUCUAAUUGAACUGGUUUUGCCUUUUGUAUUUCACACAUUUCAGCAAGGUGUGCAAAUGGUGGGGAAGGGAGGCCGUUUUAUUUGUUGUAUUUUUUUGGUUGCAAAGCCUGAUUGUUGGCCUUAUGUCUGUUCUAGUGAAUUGCCACUGCACAUACACACACACACACACAAACUUGGAUUUCCUUUAUGAAUAGCUGAAAUUCCAGUCUUGCCUGGCACAAGGGUAAGUUUCACAUAAAGAACAGCCUCUGUGGAGAGUUUUUGAAAAUAAAUCAAAAACCUGAGAGACUGAGAAAAAUUCU
rnacentral:lncRNA from 1 species